UACGGAGGAUGCAAGCGUUAUCCGGAAUGAUUGGGCGUAAAGCGUCCGCAGGUGGCUAUGUAAGUCUGCUGUUAAAGAGUCUAGCUCAACUAGAUAAGAGCAGUGGAAACUACAAGGCUAGAGUACGUUCGGGGCAGAGGGAAUUCCUGGUGUAGCGGUGAAAUGCGUAGAGAUCAGGAAGAAUACCAGUGGCGAAGGCGGCGACCUGGGUCGAUACUGACGCUGAGGCGCGAAAGCGUGGGGAGCAAACAGG
rnacentral:rRNA from 1 species